AAAUAUUACAAAGCAACAUUCUAGAAUCUACUGGUGUAUAGUUGCUGUAUAAUUCAUCCUUUUGACUCUAAUGCUCAAGGUGACCUAGAGUUUGAUUGUCAACCCUAAUUUAGUCAACCACAUUGUAUUUCAAUCUUUCAAAUCCAUUACAUGGAUUAUUCUAACCAAGAUUUUACUAAAUUGAAAUACAAUGAUGUAUAUCUCCUACUAAUUCAAAGGGGUCAAUUCCAUCUUGACUCACACACCGACUUGAUAAGUACUUGACUGCACCC
rnacentral:lncRNA from 1 species